CCUAACAUUGCAUAAUGAUGUUGCCACCAAAAACGUUGCCUUAGAUGCUUAAAAUUUGAUUGAAGUGGGUGUAUACCAACAUCAUAUAGCGGUGUUGCCAUUGAUACGAAAACUGUUGCCUUAACCACAAAAAAAUCUCGAUGCCAACAUCUUGUGCGAUGUUGCCUUAGAGAAGAACUAAAAUAAAGGAGGAAAACACCCCGCUUUCUUUUGAUAGUCAAAUUUUUAAACAAAAUUCAGCAACCGCCUCAGACAAAACGUGUUAUCUCUCGGGCAAUUAAAACAAAAAUUAAAAACAUCUCUCAUAUAAACACACCUCCCUCCCCCUCGAACUCAUUCUCUCUCAGACAAAAACACCUCCCUCCCCCGAACUCUCUCUCUCUCCCCCGCAUCUCUUACUCUCUCUCCCGCAUCUCUCACUCAAUCUCUCCCGUAUACCUCUCUUCCGAAUCAUCACCAUCUCGCUCUUUCAUCUCUUUCUCUCAUCUCGUUCUCAUAUAUAUCUCUCAUCUCACUCUCUCAUCUCUCGAAUCUGGAAUCUGCGAAAAUUUGGGAAAGGGCUGGUCCGACGACUUUAUAGAAGGAGCUCAGUUGCUUUUCUCUCGUAGCUUUAAUUUGGUCGAACUCUAACUAUAAGGGGAAGCUUUAUCAGCCUAUUAAGCUUGAUGAUAGUAUAUGGAGCCUGGAGGACCGGAAGUGUAUCUCUGUACUUCUUUCCAAGCAGGACAAAAUGCAAUGGUAGAAGUACUUGGUGAAAGGUGAUCCUGAAGUGGAUACCCAAAAGGUAGAGCCUGAGAGCAACAAACUAUCUGAUCGAGAUGGAGAAAUACGGUAAACUGUGGGGAAAAUGAUGGUGAUUUGAUCUUCGAAACUUGGAAUGGAUGAGGGAAUGAAAAUGUAAGCUUGCCGCAGCAGCAACAGUUCUGCUCACCUCGUCCAGCUUCCAGCACAAGGCCUUCUACUGAAGCAAACUUGACUGAUAGUGCCAAAUUGUCAAGAUCAUUCUCGAUUCCACUAACCAAUAAACUUUGAUCUAUGGAAUUUUAGUGUUGUGGUAAAAUUUUAGUAUCGAUGGAACUUUAGUAUUUUGUGGUAGAAUUCUAGUAUUUGCAGAAUUUUAGUAAUUUGUGAUAAAAUUAUGUGUAAUAGGUACUGUGGAGUUUGGAUUUAACUAUGUUAUGGUAUGUAGGUUUAGUUAGUA